rnacentral:lncRNA from 1 species
ACACUUCAAAGUAAAAAUGGAAACCACCACCACCACCACCUCCACCGCUGCCACCACCAUCACCACCACCAUUAACAACGGCGUUCUUCACUCCAUCGAGGUCAAUCCACGACACCACAUCCUCAACCGUGCAUUUGCACUUAUUUACCUUUUUGCCAUCCUAGUUCUUUUCUAUAACCAUAUAAUAAAACUCCUAAAUUCCACAAAUUCCUUUAUAACUUUCUCCAUAUCAUUUUCCAUCUUAAUUUCAGAUAUAAUCUUAGCCUUUAUGUGGACAACUAUUCAAUCUUUUCGUAUGCAUCCACUAACACGUCAACAAUAUCCUGAAAAAAUAACCAAAAACUUUAGUAACGAAAUUAAUAAUUUUCCGCCACUCGAUAUAUUUAUUUGUACGGCAGAUCCUUAUAAGGAGCCACCGUUAAACGUCGUUAACACGGCGUUAUCAGUUAUGGCAUACGAUUAUAAUCCAAUCGAAAAAAUAUCGAUUUACGUAUCGGACGAUGGAGGAUCGGAGCUUACGUUAUUUGCUUUUAUGGAAGCUGCAAAAUUUGCUGUAUAUUGGUUGCCUUUUUGUAGGGAAAAUAAAAUAAUUCAAAGGUCUCCAGAUGCAUAUUUCAAUUCUAAUUACUUACAAAAUUUUGAGACAAAGAAAAUUAAGGUAUGUUUUUUUUUCCCUCUAGAAUUUAUAUUACUAAACAGAACGUCUAACGUUUAAUAAUUUUCUUAAUUAAUAAUAAAAAGUUGGUUGAUUUUUAAUAUUACUAAAUCAUGAUUAUAAUGUUUGAAUUUUUAAAAAGUAUCUUAACGUAUAUGUUGGAUAUUCCUUCAAAAAUAUAUCAUUACUAUUUUGAUAUGAUGAUAUUUUUAAAAAUUCGAGUAAUAUAGUAAAAAGGAGAUUUUUGGUACUGUUAUUUCUGCAAGCAUGCAUGUGCGAUGUACAUUUAAUUUAUAUUAUAGCUUGCGUUUGAGAUCUGGCUAAGUUUAUUUAUGAGAUAUUUUGGUAAAUUUGUCGUAUAUUACAAUUAUUGAUAAAGGAACGUAUAGGUUUGGUACGAUCUAUUUUAUGGUCUAUUAUAAAUAUUAUUUUUAGUUAUAUUAUAUGGUCUUCUCUAUAGGAUGUCAGGUCCCAAUUAAUUAAUAUAGUAUGUGGUAACUUUUGCUUUUCGAAAUUUGAUUAUCUAUGGUUUAAAGUUAAAUAGGUUUUGAUUAAAUUAAUAUUAGUUAAAAUGUUUAUCAAAGUUUAGAUAAUAUGAGUCUUAAAAAUUGAAAAAUAUAACAUGUAUGAGAAAGAAAUAGUUUUAUAUAUAUAUGAAAUUUUUAUAUAGAUAUUUUUUUUCUAUUUAAUUAAAUAUUAUUUGUGAUGGAAAAUCAUGAUUCUCGCUAAGGAAAAUAACAAAGAAUAUUUGUCCUUUAUCUUACACCAUAUUUCAUAUUUUUAUGUAUUUUCGUUCUUUAAGAUUCAAGUUACGUCGUAUUUUAAUCAAUAGAAUAUAUUUAUAUAAGAAGAUAAGCAACUUGCAAUUUGAUUGACUAGUAUCUGGCCUGAGUUCAUUUUAUCAAUUAUCUAAACAUAUUUUAUAUAUUUAUUGAUUUGUCAUUUUGUUUUUGAAUUCAAUCUUUGUGACGCUAUAGCUGAAGGAAAAAAAACCCAGAUAUUUUCUCUAAUUUGUAAUUAUUCGCUUAGAAGUCAGCAAAAUAGCUAAACUAGUAGUAUAUAGGAUAUGCUCAUAUAUCAAUAUGUAUUUGUUAUAUAAUGUAUUUGACUAAUAAAUUUAACCAAUAAUGUUGUAACAACUCUUUAAGGACACCUUAUAUUCUUUUAAAAUGUCAUAAAACCUUUUUACUAUUAUGCUAGAAUCUUAUCUUAUGUUAUUACAUAACAAAAACAAUUUAUUUUCUUAUGUAAAUCACGUCAUAGAAUUUUAACGAUAGAGAAUAAUAUUUUUAUUUAUCUUUCAGCGUGUUGACUCAAAUUAUUAUCAAAAAACUUUUUUGAUUAUUUAUCUUAUUUUUAAUUGAUCAGCGCGACUCAAACUAUUGUCAAAAAAAAACUUUUUUGAUUAUUUCUUAUUUUCAAUCGAGAAUUUUAUGUGAUACAUAUUAUAUAUGUAGUUGAUGUAUGAAAACAUGAAAGCAAGGAUAGAAGAAGUGAUUGAGAGGGGAAAGGUGGAUGAAGAUUAUAUCAAUAAUGAGGAAGAGCUUCAAGCUUUUACCAAAUAUUGGACUACUUUAUUUUCUCGACAUAAUCAUCCUUCUAUUAUUCAGGUAAAUAUAUAUUAUUAUUUUGAACUUAAUUCUAUAUAACUUGUCACUAUAAUUUUACGCUCAUUUCCUUAUAUAUAAUAUUUUAUCAUUAUUUUAUCGAUACGAGACUUACAUAGGAUAUCAUAUAUAAUUUGGUAAUAUCGUCUACUUGACUUUAUCCUUUUAUCAAAUUGGUUGGUGUAGGUUUUGUUAGAAAGUGGCAAAGACAAAGACAUAACAAGUCAUGGGAUGCCAAAUCUUAUUUAUAUUUCAAGAGAAAAAAACAAGAGUUCACCGCAUCAUUUCAAAGCAGGUGCCCUCAAUGCAUUGGUAAGUAAAAUCUCAUCAAUUUUUAUUCUUAAAAAUAAGGGUAGUAUAUAUCCCUCGACUUUGAGAUAUGGAGGGGAUAUACCCUCGUUAAAAAAUUAAUGUAUACAUACAUUCUAAAUAGCAAAGUCGAUGAAUAUAUUUGCCUCUUUUUCCUAAAAUAUUAUCGAAUUGAUUAUUAAUUUCUUCUUGUGAUAGCUUCGAGUAUCGGGAAUAAUGACAAAUGCACCAAUAAUAUUGACACUUGACUGUGAUAUGUACUCUAAUGAUCCAUCAACACCUCAACGGGCUCUAUGUUACUUCUUGGACCCAACAUUACGGCCCAAUUUAGCCUACGUUCAGUUUCCUCAAACUUUUCAUGGGCUUAAUGAAGCAGAUAUUUAUGCAAGUGAGAUAAAAGGCCUAUUCUUUAGUAAUCCAAUAGGCAUGGAUGGGCUUAAUGGGCCUAAUUAUGUUGGAACUGGAUGUUUUUUUCGUCGUCGGGCCUUUUUCGGGCCUCCGUCUUCGUUUGAGCAGCCCGAAAUUCCAGAACUGUUUCCGGAUCAUGUUGUGAAUAAGCCCAUUAAGGCCCAAGAAAUCUUGCUGCGAGCCCAUUAUGUAGCAAGUUGCAACUAUGAGAGGGAAAGUAAUUGGGGUGCCAAGGUGAGGUUUAUUUUACAUUUUAAGUAAGUGAAUGUAGAGUAUAAUUGCACUAACAACUUUUUUUUUGGUGGCAAUUUGUUCGAACUUACCAUGUGAUAUAUCUACUAUACAUGGUAUAUUCGAACUAGUUCCCACGAAAAAGAAUAAUUGCACUUGUAACUUCUUCGUGGCAAUUGGUUCGAACUUUGUGAAAUAUGUAGAUCAUGUUGCCACGAAAAAAUUGGUAGAAACGAAGACAACAAGUUCAUAAGUCAGGAACUAUGGUGUAUAAUAUAUGUAUAAUCCGUGUUUAAUUUGUAUAUUAUCAGUAUACUCAGUGUAUACUCUAUGUAUCCGGAUAGAAAAAGUAAACAAUGAAUCUGUCGGGCUAACAAUUUCAAAAUUAUGCAGAUGGGCUUUAGGUAUGGAUCACUUGUUGAGGAUUACUACACAGGCUAUAGACUUCAAUGUGAAGGUUGGAAAUCAGUAUUUUGCAACCCUAAAAGGCCUGCAUUUUUAGGAGAUAUACCAAUUUCUCUCUAUGAUGUGGUCAGCCAAAACAAGAGAUGGUCGGUUGGACUUCUUGAAGUUGCUUUAUCAAAAUAUAGCCCAUUGACUUUUGGGGUACAGUCAAUGGGCCUUGUUAUGGCCCAUUGUUAUACUCACUAUGCAUUUUGGCCCAUUUGGUCGAUACCACUUACUAUAUAUGCCUUCAUCCCCCAACUUACUCUUCUCAAUGGGGUUACCAUCUUUCCAAAGGUAUGCACCAAUUCAUUUUGGUCCGUAUUAUAUAUGACUCGGCAUAUUUAACGUUUAAUUAAUUACGUUAUGUGUUUCGGUUCACUUUCAUGUAGAAUAUAUAUUAUAAUAUCGUCAUAUACAAAGCAACACUACUAUAGAGCAUAAAACAUGACUAAUUAAUUGGUGGAACGAUUAGUCUUAUGAUAAAUUUGUGGAUAUUGACCUGCAAAUGAUAUAAAAAUUGUAAUUUUUUUUAAGAUUUAAUGUUCUUUUGAUAUUGAUUUCAGGUUUCAGAUCCUUGUAUUUUCUUAUAUGUUUUCUUAUUCCUCGGAGCGUAUGGACAAGAUUGUUUGGUUUUUAUGUCUAAUGAAGGGACAUUUAAAAGGUGGUGGAGUGACCAAAGAAUGUGGAUGAUAAGGGGAGUAACAUCUUUCCUAUUUGGAACAAUUGAGUAUUUAACUAAACACUUGGGCAUAUCAACACAAGGAUUCAACGUAACAAGCAAAGUAGUCGAUAAUGACCAAGGUAAAAGGUACCAUCAAGGAACUUUCGAGUUUGGGGUUGUUUCACCUAUGUUUGUGAUACUAGCAACCACAUCAAUCAUCAAUUUAGUAGCAUUUCUCAAAUCAUUAGCACAAAUUUUCAAGGGUGAUAAAAAUUUGGAUGGAAUAUUUAUCCAAAUGUUUAUUUCUGGUUUUGUUGUUAUAAAUUGUUUGCCAAUUUAUGAAGCUAUGAUUUUGAGAAGUGAUAAAGGAAGAAUGCCUACAAGGGUCACUAUAUUCUCAACAUUUCUUGCUUGUACUCUCUAUAUAGCAUUUGCUUUUCUUUUAGGAAACAUGUAAUAGCAAAGUUUUAUUCUUGUACUUUGGGACCUUUUGUUAUUGUUCUUGUAGUCUUAUUGGUUUAGUUAAGAAGCAAUAUUAGAUUUAUUUGAAAUAUUCAAGAAUAAAAGGAGUAUUGAGAUUUUAUAUAUAGAAUGAAAGUAUAUUUUUCUCAAUCUUCGUACGAUGAAAAUAAUAAAUAAAAAUAAAAAAUAUUUUUUUUAAUAUAAUGAACACAUAAAAAUAACAAAGAGAACUUUUUGAAAUCCUUCCUAUAAUAGACCCCUCUCACCACAAUAAUCUAUCACUCUAUCAUCUACUCUAAUAACACACUUCAAGCAAAAUGGAAACCACCACCUCCGCCGCCGCCGCCACCACCAAUAACACCAGGGGUCUUCACUCCGUCGUGAUGAACCCACGACACCACAUCCUCAACCGUGCAUUUGCACUUAUUUACCUUUUUGCCAUCCUAGUUCUUUUCUAUAACCAUAUAAUAAAACUCUUAAAUUCCACGAAUUCCUUUAUAACUUUCUCCAUAUCUUUUUCCAUCUUAAUUUCAGAUUUAAUCUUAGCCUUCAUGUGGACAACCAGUCAACCUUUUCGUAUGCGUCCACUAACACGUCAACAAUAUCCCGAAAAAAUAACCAAAAAUUUUAGUAACGAAAUUAAUAAUUUUCCUCCACUCGAUAUAUUUAUUUGUACGGCAGAUCCUUAUAAGGAGCCACCUUUAGACGUCGUUAACACGGCGUUAUCAGUUAUGGCAUACGAAUAUGAUCCAAUCGAAAAAAUAUCGGUUUACGUAUCGGACGAUGGAGGAUCGGAACUCACGUUAUUUGCUUUUAUGGAAGCUGCAAAAUUUGCUGUAUAUUGGUUGCCUUUUUGUAGGGAAAAUAAAAUAAUUCAAAGGUCUCCAGAUGCAUAUUUCAAUUCUAAUUACACGCAAAAUUCUGAGACAGAGAAAAUCAAGGUAUGUUUUUUUUUCCUCUCGAAUUUAUAUUACUAAACAGAAUAUCUUAUAUCUAGUGAUUAUUUUUAAUUAAUAAAUAGAAAUAGUUGAUUUUCAAAUAUAUAUUAUUAUCUGACAUCUAGUGAUUAUUUUUAAUUAAUAAAUAGAAAAUUAGUUGAUUUUCAAAUAUAUAUUUUUACUACUUUGAUAUGUUACUUCUAAGAAUUCGAACAAUAUGAUAUUGUGUAUGAAAGUGAGUAGUGGUUAUGCGGAAGUUUACAUCAUAAAGUAUAUGGUUGAUAGACUACACGACUAGUAAAAGUAUAUUAAAAACAUAUUAUUAAUGUAUCUACAUAUUAUAAAAUUAGUAUUGAAAAACUUAAAUGUAAUUAAAGAAAAUCUUCUCGUAAAUAAAACUCUUUAAACAGCUAAUUAUAAUAUUAUUGUGUUCUGCAAUGAAAAUAAGAAUCUUCAAUUUUUACAUUUCUAAAUUUUUCUUAAAAAAUCAAAUAUGAAAGAAUAUUUUUCUUUUAAAAAAGUUAAAGCAUUUAUGAAGAAAAAAAAGAUACUUCAAAUUUUUUUAAAAAAUAACAUAAGAAAAUCAGGACAAAACUUAAUAUAAAAAAAAACAAGAUUUUUGGCACUGUUAUUUCUACCAAGCAUGCAUGUGCGAUGUAAAGUUUUUUUAUUACAUCCCACGUUUCAGAUAUUUUGAUAUAUUUGUUGUUUAUAACAAUUAUUGAUAAAGAGACAUAUAGGUUUGGUACGAUCGAUUAUGGGACCAUAACUAAUAUUUUGAGUCAUAUUAUAUGGUUUUCUAUAGGAUGAGGGUCCCAACUAAAUAUACAUGGGUUAGCUUUCGCUUUCUAGAAGUUGAUUUGUUUGAUUUAUGUAGUUAAAUUUAAUUAAAUUAAUAAUUAAAAUUUAUAUUAUAAUAUUAUAAAUUAUAAUUUUUUUCACGUUAAUAUGAUAAGAAUAUAUUUUAUAAAAAUAUAUAUUAAAAUUUAUAUAAUUUAAGUCUAAAAAAAUAAAUGUGUUACAAAAACUGAACUAUAAUUAGUAACAUAUAAUAUAGUAAAAAGUUGAUAAAAUCUUUAUAAAACCUUUCCUUUUUCUCUUUAAUUAUAUAUAAUUUGUGAUAGGGAAUCAUGAUUCUUGCGAAGGAAAAUCACAAUUGAAUAUCUUACGUCAUAUCUUGUAUUUUUGUAUAUUUUUAUUUUUUGAAAUUCAAAUUACAUCAUAUUUUAAUUAAUAUUUAAAAUAUAUUUUUACAAGAUAUAGGCAACUUGCAAUUUGAUUGACUAGUAUCUGGCUUGAGUUGAUUCAUCAAUUAUCUGAAUACAUUUCAUGUAUAUAUUGAUUUGUCAUUUUAUUUUUAAUUUCAAUCCUUCUGACGUUAUAGCUAAAAAAAAGAUAUUUUUUUGAUCUGUCAUUAUUUACUUAAAAGACUUAAAAUGGCUAAACAAGUACAUAUUAUAUACUCAUAUGUCGUCUUUCAUUUUAUUUUUUUUUGUUAUAAUGUAUUUGACUAAUGAAUUUCGCCAAAAAUAUUGUAACAACUCUUAUAAGGACACCUUAAUUAUUUUUUAAGAAGUCAUAAAACCUUUUUACUAUUAUACUAGAACAUACCUUGUGUUAUAUAAGAAAAACAUUUUUUUUUCUUAUAUAUGUACAUGAUGGAACUUUGCAUUUAAAAUAGAAAUUUAUUGCUUAUUUUUCAGCGUGAUUCAAGCUAUUAUCAAGGAAGAACUUUUUCUAUUAUUUAUAUUAUCUCCUAUCAAAUUUGAACUUACUUUACUAUAAUUUAUAUUAUAUGGUGUAGUUGAUGUACGAAAACAUGAAGAGAAGGAUAGAAGAAGUGAUUGAGAAGGGAAAAGUGGACGAAGAUUAUAUUAACAAUGAGGAAGAGCUUCAAGCUUUUACCAAAUAUUGGACAUUUGGAUUUACUCGUCAUAAUCAUCCUUCUAUCAUUCAGGUAAAUAUAUAUAUAGUAAUUGUUCAAUUGACUCAUAAUAUUAUCCUAUAGAACUUAAUUCUAUGUAAUUUUAGAAUCUGUCAAUAUAAGACUUGUCUAGAAUAUCACAUAUAUUUUCUGGUAAGAAUUACCCCAUGCACCAUUAUCAAAAUAAUGUAGGAUUCAUCUAAAGGAGUACUGGUUUGAAUAUUAUAUACAACAAUUCAAUCUACUAAUGAUAUUGUCUAUUUGAAUUCUAUACUAGUACAAUUUUAAAAUGUGUCACAAUAAAAAGCAAAAAAAAAAAAAUAGUUAUUAAUUAAAAAUGUUUAACACGUGUUGACAAAAUAGUCUAAUUUGCCUUUAAUUGUUAACAUGUUAUAUUAAGAUCAUAUGUGUGGUUAUUAAUUUGGUACUAUCAUCUUUUUAAUUUAUCCUUUUAUCAAAUUGGUUGGUGUAGGUUUUGUUAGAAAGUGGCAAAGAUAAAGACAUAACAAGUCACGGGAUGCCAAAUCUUAUUUAUUUUUCAAGAGAAAAAAACAAAAGUUUCCCUCAUCAUUUUAAAGCAGGUGCCCUCAAUGCAUUGGUAAGUAAAAAAUCUAAUCAAUUUUACUUAUACACACGUUCUAAAUAGCAAAGUCGAGGAAUAUAUUUGUCACUUUUCCCUAAAAUCUUAUCGAAUUGAUUAUUAAUUUCUUCUUGUGACAUAGCUUCGAAUAUCGGGAAUUAUGACAAAUGCACCAAUAAUAUUGACACUUGACUGUGAUAUGUACUCUAAUGAUCCAUCAACACCUCAACGGGCUUUAUGUUACUUCUUGGACCCAACAUUACGGCCCGAUUUAGCCUACGUUCAGUUUCCUCAAACUUUUCAUGGGCUUAAUGCAGCAGAUAUUUAUGCAAAUGAGAUAAAACCCCUAUUUAUUACUAAUCCAAUGGGCAUGGAUGGGCUUAAUGGGCCUAAUUAUGUUGGAACUGGAUGUUUUUUUCGUCGUCGGGCUUUUUUCGGGCCUCCGUCUUCGUUUGAGCAGCCCGAAAUUCCAGAACUGUUUCCGGAUCAUGUUGUGAAUAAGCCCAUUAAGGCCCAUGAAAUCUUGCGGCGAGCCCAUUAUGUAGCAAGUAGCAACUAUGAGAGUGGAAGUAAUUGGGGUUCCAAGGUGAGCUUUAGUUUACAUUUUAAGUUGGUAAAUGUAGAGUAUAAUUGCACUAGCAACUUCUUUUUGGUGGCAAUUGGUUCGAAUUUGCCACGCGAUAUAUCUAGUAUACAUGGUAUAUUCGAACUAAUUCCCAUGAAAAAAUCGUUUGCACUUAAGGCAAUAUGAGUAUAAUUCCACUAGCAACUUUUUCGUGGCAAUGAGAUCGCACUUGUCACAUAUUUUAGAUCUUGUUGCCACAAAAAAAGUUGGUAGAACUGAAGACAACAUAGUAAAUGUGGUGUAAAAUUGAACCAACGAGACAAUCAUUUCAGACUUUCUGAUUAUCGUUGCCAAUAAAAAUAGCAAUAAUAUAUCAAUCAGAUGUAUAAUACAUGUAUUUUUAAUGUAUAAUCUGUAUAUCAUCAUGUAUGUUAUAUACAAACUAACAAUUUCAAAAUUAUGCAGAUGGGGUUUAGGUAUGGAUCACUUGUUGAGGAUUACUACACAGGUUAUAGACUUCAAUGUGAAGGAUGGAAAUCAGUAUUUUGCAAUCCUAAAAGGCCUGCAUUUUUAGGAGAUAAACCAAUUUCUCUGUAUGAUGUGGUCAGCCAAAUGAAGAGAUGGGAUGUGGGCCUUCUUGAAGUUGCUCUCUCAAAAUAUAGCCCAUUAACUUUUGGGGUUCAGUCCAUGGGCCUUGUUAUGGCCCAUUGUUAUUCUCACUAUGCAUUCUCCCCCAUUUGGUCAAUACCACUUACUCUAUAUGCCUUCAUACCUCAACUUACUCUUCUCAAUGGGGUUACCAUCUUUCUAAAGGUAUGUCCUUUUGAUAUAUGACUCAGCAUAUUUAACGUUCAAUUAAUUGAGUUACGCAUUUUGGUUCCCUUUCAUGUAGAAAAUAUAUUAUAAUAUCGUCAUAUACAAGGCAACACUACAUAUAUAGAGCGUAGCACAUGACUAAUAAAUUGGUAGAACAACUAGUCUUAAGGUAAAUUUGUGGAUAUUGACAUGCAAAUGAAUAAAAAUUGUAAUUUUUUUUUUGAAUGUUUAAUGUUCUUUUUAUAUCGAUUUCAGGUUUCAGACCCUUGGUUUUUCUUGUAUGUUUUUAUGUUCCUUGGAUCGUAUGGACAAGAUUGCUUGAUUUUUAUGUCUAAUGAAGGGACAUUUAAAAGGUGGUGGAGUGACCAAAGAAUGUGGAUGAUAAGGGGUUAACAUCUCACUUAUUUGGAACAAUUGAGUAUUUAACUAAAUACUUAGGCAUAUCGAUACAAGGUUUCAAUGUAACAAAUAAAAUAGUCGAUAAUGACCAAGGUAAAAGGUAUCAUCAAGGAAUUUUCGAGUUUGGGGUUGUUUCGCCUAUGUUUGUGAUACUAGCAACAACAUCAAUUAUCAAUUUAGUAGCAUUCCUCAAAUCAUUAGCACAAAUUUUCAAGAGUGAUCAAAAUUUGGAUGGUAUGUUCAUCCAAAUGUUUAUUGCUGGUUUUGUUGUUAUAAAUUGUUUGCCAAUUUAUGAAGCUAUGGUUUUGAGAAGUGAUAAAGGAAGAAUGCCAACAAGGGUCACUAUUUUCUCAACAUGUCUUGCUUGUACCCUCUAUAUAGCAUUUGCUUUUCUUUUAGGAAACAUGUAAUAGCAAAGUUUUAUUUUUGUACUUUUGGGACCUUUUGUUAUUGUUCUUGUAAUCUUAUUACUUAGUUUAGUUAAGAAGCAAUAUUAGAUUUAUUUGAAAUAUUCAAGAAUAAAAGGAGUACUGAGAUUUUAUAUAUGGAAUGAACAUAUAUUUUUCUCAAUCUUCAUACGAUGAAAAUAAUAAAUAAAAAUAAUUUUUUUUUAAUAUAAUAAACACGUAAAAAUAACAGAGAGAAGUUUUUGAAAUCCCUCCCAUAAAUAGACUCCUCUCACCACAAUAAUCUAUCACUCUAUCAUCUACUCUAAUAAAACACUUCAAGCAAAAAUGGAAACCACCACCUCCUCCUCCGCCGACACCACCACCACCACCAAUAACACCGGGGGUCUUCACUCCGUCGUGAUGAAUCCACGACACCACAUCCUCAACCGUGCAUUUGCACUUAUUUACCUUUUUGCCAUCCUAGUUCUUUUCUAUAACCAUAUAAUAAAACUCCUAAAUUCCACAAAUUCCUUUAUAACUUUCUCCAUAUCAUUUUCAAUUUUAAUUUCAGAUUUAAUCUUAGCCUUCAUGUGGACAACCAGUCAACCU